rnacentral:rRNA from 1 species
UACGUAGGGGGCUAGCGUUAUCCGGAAUUACUGGGCGUAAAGGGUGCGUAGGUGGUUUUUCAAGUCAGGAGUGAAAGGCUACGGCUCAACCGUAGUAAGCUCUUGAAACUGUAAAACUUGAGUGCAGGAGAGGAGAGUAGAAUUCCUAGUGUAGCGGUGAAAUGCGUAGAUAUUAGGAGGAAUACCAGUUGCGAAGGCGGCUCUCUGGACUGUAACUGACAAUGAGGCACGAAAGAGUGGGGAGCAAACAGG